rnacentral:misc_RNA from 1 species
AAACCAUCAAGCACUGCUUGGCUUUGGACCCGGCCUUAAGGAGCGCCUCGUCUGAAACCCAACAAGUGGCGUUCCCGUCGAGCCUUAAGCGUAGCAAGAACUACUCCCUCGCUUCAAAGGCUUCAGGCGGGACCGGCCCUAAAAGUUACCCCCAAAAGU